UACGGAGGGUGCAAGCGUUAAUCGGAAUUACUGGGCGUAAAGAGUGUGUAGGCGGUGCUCUAAGUUUGGUGUGAAAUCUCCCGGCUCAACUGGGAGGGUGCGCCGAAAACUGGAAUGCUUGAACAUGGGAGAGGAAAGCGGAAUUCCUGGUGUAGCGGUGAAAUGCGUAGAUAUCAGGAGGAACACCUGCGGUGUAGACGGCUUUCUGGACCAUUGUUGACGCUGAGACACGAAAGCGUGGGUAGCAAACAGG
rnacentral:rRNA from 1 species